AGGUUUGCAGAUUAUCAACAUCUCUGUGUCAAGCUGCUGAAGAGAGAAUCUGCUCUAGUCUAAGGUGUCAUUCAUCACUAUGAGGUUUUUCAUCUCACUGUGUGUGUCGCUGCUCCUGAUUCAUGGU